rnacentral:misc_RNA from 1 species
AACCUUAUGGACCUGCGGGCGUAUACCUGCGGAAGGAUCAUUACAGAGUUCAUGCCCUCACGGGUAGAUCUCCCACCCCUGAAUACUAUACCUUUGUUGCUUUGGCGGGCCGCUUUGGCUACUGGCUCUGGCUAGUAAGUGCCCGCCAAAGAACCCCAAAACUCUGAAUAUUAGUGUCGUCUGAGUACUAUAUAAUAGUUAAAACUUUCAACAACGGAUCU